AUGGUCCUCGCCGCCCUCGCUGGCCUGCUCGCGAGCAAUGAAAAGCCGCGGCGAGGUGGCUCGGCAUCGGGGCGGCUGAAAGCAAAGAACCGACAUCGUCUGGAAGGCUAUUGCAUGCUCUACUCCGACUAUUUCGCCGAUGCUCCACUGCACGGUGACAAAGUAUUUCGGCGCCGUUAUCGGAUGAGCCGAAAGCUUUUCCUCAGGAUUGUGAAUUUCAUACGGGAGUUCGACAGCUACUUCAAGUGCAAGGAGGAUUGCACCGGCAAACUUGGAUUAACCUCAAUCCAGAAGUGCAGGACAGCUAUGAGGAUGCUUGCAUACGGAGCUCCCGGUGAUUCACUCGACCACUAUGGGCGCAUGGCCGAGUCCACGACCAUUGAGUGUUUCUACAAGUUCUGCAAGGUAGUGCUGGCAGUGUUUGGACCGCAAUACUUGCGAACACCCAAUACGGAAGACAUUGCUCGGAUCCUAGCACAGAAUGCAGCAAGAGGAUUUCCUGGAAUGUUUGAAAGGAUCGACUGCAUGCAUUGGAAAUGGAAGAACUGCCCAUUUGCUUGGCAGGGGAUGUACAAAGGCGCGAAAGGCGGUUGCGGUGUGGUACUUGAGGCGGUGGACACACAAGACCUCUGGAUUUGGCACUCCUUCUUUGGUAUGCCAGGAACUCACAAUGACAUCAACGUGCUGCAGUGCUCCCCUGUCUUUGCCAAGCUUGUUGAAGGUCAUUCUUCUCCGGUGAACUUCGAGGUCAACGGGCGGCACUACAACAAGGGGUACUACCUAGCUGAUGGCAUCUAUCCGAGAUGGUCUACAUUUGUGAAGACUGUCUCAAACGUUGUGCCAGGAUGCAAGAAGUCCCACUUUGCGAAGGUUCAGGAGGCUUGCAGGAAGGAUGUCGAGCGGGCAUUUGGUGUGCUCCAAUCUCGAUUUGCUGUUGUCCGAUACCCUGGUCAGACAUGGUCGAAAGAUCAAAUGUGGGAGAUCAUGACUUGUUGUGUCAUUUUGCACAACAUGAUCAUUGAGAGCGAGCAGGAAGAGCCAGUGUUUAACACUGAACCAUAUUACAGGCAGGGUCCUCUUGCACAAGUUGAUCAUCAGCUACCGGCAACCUGGAUUGCCUUCCUCAAUAUGCGUCAGGAGAUCCGAGACCCACAGGUGCAUCAAUAA
rnacentral:rRNA from 1 species